GAUGAACGCUGGCGGCGUGCUUAACACAUGCAAGUCGAACGGUGAACGAGGGAGCUUGCUCCCUCCGGAUCAGUGGCGAACGGGUGAGUAACACGUGAGCAAUCUGCCCUGGACUCUGGGAUAAGCGUUGGAAACGACGUCUAAUACCGGAUACGAGGCGUGGGGGCAUCCCCAACGCCUGGAAAGAACUUCGGUCCAGGAUGAGCUCGCGGCCUAUCAGGUAGUUGGUGAGGUAAUGGCUCACCAAGCCUACGACGGGUAGCCGGCCUGAGAGGGUGACCGGCCACACUGGGACUGAGACACGGCCCAGACUCCUACGGGAGGCAGCAGUGGGGAAUAUUGCACAAUGGGCGAAAGCCUGAUGCAGCAACGCCGCGUGAGGGACGACGGCCUUCGGGUUGUAAACCUCUUUUAGCAGGGAAGAAGCGAAGGUGACGGUACCUGCAGAAAAAGCACCGGCUAACUACGUGCCAGCAGCCGCCGUAACAC
rnacentral:rRNA from 1 species